rnacentral:rRNA from 1 species
CAGUAGCGUAUAUUAAAGUUGUUGCAGUUAAAAAGCUCGUAGUUGGAUUUCUGACUUCAGAUACCUGACCCUCCCUCGCUAGAGGUGUGUGUGCCGGAGUAUUUGUAUCAUCCUUUCAGUGAUCGGCUCUACCCUUAACCGGGUCGGAGCUGCUAGCUGGAUCUUUUACUUUGAAGAAAUUGGAGUGUUUAAAGCAGGCUUACGCCAGAACAUAUUAGCAUGGAAUAAUAAUUUAGGUACUUUUGUUCUAUUUUGUUUGGUUUCUUAGGACGAAAGUAAUGAUUGAUAGGGAGUAGUUGGGGGUUGGCUAGUAUUCGGCGGCCAGAGGUGAAAUUACUUUGUAUCCGCUGAAGACUAACUUAUGCGAAAGACAUUCACCAAGGAUGUCUUCUUUAAUUCAAGAACGAAAGUUAGGGGGAGUCGAAGACGAUUAG